CAAGGAGAAGAGAAAGAAAUCCAAGGGCCUCUCUGCAGGCAGAGGAGGGAGCUGCACCUCUUUGACAUUAAGCCAGAGCAGCAGAGGUAUGCCAGGGCAUUUCUCCCAAAGGCAGCUUCCUCCUCCUGGAGUGGGUGUAGCUUUGGGAGACCCAGUUCCCCUGAAGCUAAGAGAGCUUCUCCCACUGCCACCACAAGGGGGCAGCCUCCCUUUACCAACUCAGGCUGGGUUUGCACUUGGCUUUCACAGCAAGGCACAGCCAGGCUCUUGCUGUUUGACUGUCUGGCUCCUGUCCUAGCCUUAACUAAUGUGCCCCCACUGGAAGUGAGUCUGUUACCCAUGGCAACAGGCUGUUUGUCUUUCGGCUUUCCCAGAGACAGGGGAACUGAUGGAUCUUAGUAUAUACUCUUUAUAGCUUUUACUAGCACUAGACAGAAUCAUCCCCUGGGUUUAUUGCCAAAGAACAUGCUGCCCGCAUGUUUCAGAGUUUCUGAAAAGGACGCAUCACUCUGGGAGGACAUGCUCUUCCCUCCAGCUGACACUGCAUCCCUCCUUGGUCACGCUUCUGCACAUGCUCGUCAUCGGACGGUUUGUAGAUCUCGCUCCAAGAGCUGCAGCCAAAUAGCCUCCCACAGACACAGUCAGUCACUGUGUCUGGGACCCCGCUUGCAAAGAGAGCUGUGCUGCGGGUGGAGGAAGGGGCCACUUCCUGCCCAGGUUUCCCUCGCUGGUGUCUACACAGGUAGAACCCACUUUGAGUUUGAGCCUGAGGUUUCCCAACAGUUUCCUAUAACAGGUUCCCCGUGAGGCACCAGGACCCAUAAUAAUGACCCCAGAGGAAAGCCUCUGAGAUCCUCUCACCUGGUCCCUCCCUGGCAUCCCACCACUGGCCUACCUUUCAGACACACCUGGUCCCUUACGUGGGGACGUGUAUGGCAGCCUGCAGCUCCUGUCUGCUCCCCUCAGGGUUGGCUUCUGUAGCAGAUGAUCUCAGAGAGCAAUGUUGAAGCAAGAUAUAAGUUUAGUUCAUGAAAAGCCGUCCAGAUGAGCACAUCCUGCCCCCUGGGCUGGUGUGGCAGAGACUUGGGCAGUGCUGCCCUGGGAGCACCCGGCUGCUCCCAUCUGUGCAGGGUGCCUUGUGGUGUGAGGGGUGUGCUGGAGUGCUGGCCAUCCAGGCUGCAUGUAGCCAGCAGGAAGGAUGUAGGGGCACCAGGAGGGUUCUAGCAGCAGAAACCGGUUCAGGAGGGGGACGCAGAUGUCAGUCUGUUGGGUUAUCUGCUGUGGAACUAGGAUCUGCACCCAGUUCCCCAUGACCUGGGUAGGGCUCCGUGGCAUCAGGCUGUGCUCUAUGCCCUGUUGAUGUCACAAUCCCAAGCUCAUGUCGCUUAAUUCUUUACUUCUUUCUACCUUAGCCACAGAUAGUCUUUUUCCCCCCUACAUGAACUCUGGAAGCAGUACAUCCGGGACCUGUGCGGUGGUCUCAAGCCAGACACGCAGCCGCACGUGAUCCAGACCAAGCUGUUGAAGGCGGAUCUUCACGGGGCUCUCGUUUCAGUCACGAAAUCCAAAUGCCCGUCCUAUGUGGGUGUUACAGGAAUCCUCCUACAGGAAACAGCACAUUUUCAAAAUCCUCACCGAAGAAGACCACCUGAAAGGGUGCAGACUCAAGUUUCUCUGUGAAUGGCUGUUCAUUAGUAGCCUUCUCUCCCCGCUUCCCCGAGGACACUUGACAAGAACGCUCAUCUGCCAUGACGCUGCCACUGUGCCCGCCUGUUUCCAGGAUGCCCUGUUGUCCCCACAGCCCACCUAGGGUCACUGGGUCCUAUGCCCUGAGGACUGUGCCCCUGAGGUCCCAGGCUAGGCAGGACACUGGCUCUCAGUGAGCGUCCUAAUGAGGCCACACCAGCUGCUCCCCAGAACCAGGCUGAGGCCUCCGGCGGUGGACCAGGGCUGGCCACGUCCCCACAGCUGUGGCACAGGGCCGGUUGUGGAGGGUGCUGUGGUAGCCUGCAGUCCGGGCUCCUACCUCCACUGCCUUGGGAGCAGAACCCCAGUAGAGCUGUGGCCUUGGAGGUGUAGGCCUGUGGGAGACAGCUACGUCAGCCUCACUUGUUGGUCUCACCCACUGGAGGAACCAGAGAGGCCCACGGAGCAGCAGAGUGGUGACCACCUGGGGACGGGACUCAGGAGCCGCAAGGCCAGGACACAUCAGCCCAGGCACCCACUGUUCUCCAAAAAAACGUACGCGUCAUGAACUCCAAGACUUGGCCUGGCUCGUCCACCCCUGCAACCCUUGUCCCUCAGUGCCCUCUAGAGCACUGCCCUCCACGUAGUAAGUGUUCCGUUAAAUACUUCUAGUCUGACAGCGAGCCGAGGGUGUGGCCCUAAUGGUGGCUAAGGGUGGCCACACCCAGCCAUGGUGACCCCCAUCUGGCCCCUACAGACGCCUUCCCCCACUGUGGCUUUCCACAGCAGAGCAGCACCGCGUCCUGUGACCCCCAGGCCACCCCAGCCUUUCAGGCAGGCAGGCGCCCCAGACAGCAGCAGUGCCUGGACACCAUGUGGGUCCUUCUCGCAUCCCAGCCAGGGCAAGGAGUCUCACUUUCUGAGUCAGACAAUGACCUACCGUUGGACAUGCUGGAUCUGGGCAGUAGACCAAGGAAAAGAGAAAACUGAAGACACCUGAGAGGGGAGGUUGGUCGCAGGAUAAAGAGCUGCGAUGGGAAAAGAUGAGGAAGAAAAGGAACAGCAGCGUCUGGCUGAGUGUCAGGGAGAAUCUGGAGGGCCAGGAGACGGAGUGGGGGAGAAAGGGAGUCUUGGGGAGCUGUCACUGUGUUAGGAGGCACAAGGAGUGGUGAUGGUGAGGAGGAGUUUUGAACCUUUGCUGGACCGUGAGAUCGUGCUUUCUCCUGUAACAUUUCUUCCAGCAUCUGAGCCUGGAUUUGGAAGUUCUCUGAAGUACUUUGUGACUGUGGUUCCAUGUUUCUGUGACUGCCACACGCACACACAAACGGAGCCACGUGGGACCCCACUUACCUUUGAGCUACACUAACGAGAUGAAGGCAAAAUUGGAAGACCUAGAGAUGGCAGGGUCAGACAGCAAUCCCUAGGACAAGCGUUAGGACCGUCCAUACAAGUCAUAUACGAGUGGGAAAUCAGAAGCAGCCGGAAAGAAGCCGAGGCCGACCCAGGGAAGAUAAGGGCUCCUUCGUACAUGUAAACAGCCAGGAGCAAGAACUUUGGGUCGGACAGCCCUGGAUGAGAGCGCCCGUUCUGCUUCUUUCUAGAGGAUGGCUUUGCAAAGUCCUGUAAUCUCUCUGAGCCUCCCUUUUCCCAGUGCAAAAUGAGAUGAAAUACGGGGCUGAUCAUGGGACUGUCCUCACUGGGAUGUUGCCAGGCUCGAGUGAACUAUCAGCCAGAGCACUUGGCACAUGGCCUAGAGCACAGAAAGGCCUAGAGGGGGCUCUGUGGUGUUACUAUUGUUAACGUAGAGCUGCCUGAGCCUUAAGAUGAUUCUGCUCAAAUACAUUUUUAAGGGGCCCCCAACUCAGACCUGCAAGUCAGAGGUCACGCAUGUGGGACUUGGAAGGCCAUAGGUCUGUUUGGGACUCCCCUGAGGAUGGAUGGACUUAGGAAGAGUCUUUGCCCCUUGGUGCUGUGCUCUGGUACCACAGUAGAGAAUAGGGAUGAAGAAGGCGGCUUUUAGAUGAAAAAUUCACUGUAUCUUUUCAUGCUAGAAAAAAGUAAGUUAAAACAACAGAAAUGAUUGCGCAUUAUUGGUGUGCCUAAAAGUUGUUUAGUAAACACGAGAAUGUGACGGGUGGAGUACUGAAUGCUAACAGCACUAAAAAUAGAAUUCAAGAUAAAAUGUUUUUUAAAAAAUUGUCUUAUUUUGAUAAAAUGAACAAUUCAUUAAAAAAUAUAAUAGACCAGAACUUUUAGAGAACAUCAACCAGAUAAUGAUAUGACAAUUCAAAACAGAAUGCUUUGAAUUUUGAUGGGUUAAGAAAAUUGAUAAAAUAAUUAAAUGUUUUUGCAAAACUUGACUCUUACGACCAAGAAAUAAGAGUCACACAUUACGCAAAGGAUAUCACAUUGAGCAAUCACACAUCGCGUACAAAACGUAUGCCUUCUCCAAACCAGCAUAACUCAAGCUUUGAUCAUCUAAGAAAGCCGGCAGUUGCAAGUGUAAUCCAUGCUUUGUUAAACUGAAGAUAAACACUUUGAUA